ensembl:miRNA mdo-mir-7386n mdo-mir-7386n
UGGGUGGAUAAGUCACUUUACUUUGUGCAUUCUUUCAAAAGUAAGGGCCUUAUCCAUAGA